GCUUAACACAUGCAAGUCGAACGAGACCUUCGGGUCUAGUGGCGCACGGGUGCGUAACGCGUGGGAACCUGCCUUAAGGUUCGGAAUAACAGUUAGAAAUGACUGCUAAUACCGGAUAAUGUCUUCGGACCAAAGAUUUAUCGCCCAUAGAUGGGCCUGCGUCGGAUUAGGUAGUUGGUGGGGUAAAGGCCUACCAAGCCUACGAUCCGUAGCUGGUCUGAGAGGAUGAUCAGCCACACUGGGACUGAGACACGGCCCAGACUCCUACGGGAGGCAGCAGUGGGGAAUAUUGGACAAUGGGCGAAAGCCUGAUCCAGCAAUGCCGCGUGAGUGAUGAAGGCCUUAGGGUUGUAAAGCUCUUUCACCGGGGAAGAUAAUGACGGUACCCGGAGAAGAAGCCCCGGCUAACUCCGUGCCAGCAGCCGCGGUAAUAC
rnacentral:rRNA from 1 species